rnacentral:rRNA from 1 species
GACAGAGGGGGCAAGCGUUGCUCGGAAUCCCUGGGGGUAAAGGGCGCGUAGGCGGGAUGGCAAGUCGGUCGUGAAAUCCUUCGGCUCAACCGAAGAACGUCGGCCGAUACUGCCGUUCUUGAGGGAUGCAGAGGAGAUUGGAAUUCCCGGUGUAGCGGUGAAAUGCGCAGAUAUCGGGAGGAACACCCGUAGCGAAGGCGGUACUCUGGGCCGAAACUGACGCUGAGGAGCGAAAGCGUGGGGAGCGAACAGG